rnacentral:misc_RNA from 1 species
CCAAUAGCGUAUAUUAAAGUUGUUGCAGUUAAAAAGCUCGUAGUUGAAUUUCAGGCCUGGCUGGACGGUCCGCCCUUCGGGUGAGUACUGUCUGUGGUCGGGUCCUACCUUCUGGCGAAGCGUCAUGGCCUUAACCGGCCGUGGCGGGGAACCAGGACUUUUACUGUGAAAAAAUUAGAGUGUUCAAAGCAGGCAAAUCGCUUGGAUACAUUAGCAUGGAAUAAUGGAAUAGGACAAUGGUUCUAUUUGUUGGUUUCUAGGACCGUUGUAAUGAUUAAUAGGGAUAGUUGGGGGCAUUAGUAUUCAAUUGUCAGAGGGGAAAUUCUUGGAUUUAUUGAAGACUAACUACUGCGAAAGCAUUUGCCAAGGAUGUUUUCAUUAAUCAAGAACGAAAGUUAGGGGAUCGAAGACGAUCAGAUACCGUCGUAGUCUUAACCAUAAACUAUGCCGACUAGGAAUCGGGCGAUGUUGAAAAAAUGACGCGCUCGGCACCUCAUG